GCUCAGCAAUCUCGUCGCUCUAUCUACCAGUGCCCUCUCCUAAAAAAACUAAAUUCGCUCCUCGUUACCUCCGUCUCACGUCAAGAUUCGCGAGUGACCGAAGUAACUCUCGCUCUAUUAUACGCUCGGGUGUCGCGUGUGAAUUUUUUUAACAAACUAAUAUAAACCAGAGCUCAUAUUUACUGUCACACAAGACAUUACUCAAUACCCAGCAUCAUUUAUGUCAACCUGUCUCGCUAUUUAUCAAACAUCUGACACAUAACCAGUGCAACUGCAACCACAACUACACAAUAACAUUGAGAGAUAAAAUACAAGAAAAAUAAUACAUAUAAAUAUAUAUACAUAUAUACUUAACAUAAAUAUAACAAUGUUACAAGUGUGUAUGUUAAAAAUAAUCCAUCAUAAGGCAGUCGCCUGAUUCCCAAGUUAUUUUAUUUCAGAGUUGCUUGGAAUGGACGGACUCCGAUUUAAAUUAAACCUCAACAAUACCUCGAUAAUUAAAAAUCAACACUCACACAAAAAUCUAAAUCACCAACACAAUAAUUACACAUUUAUGUGUGCAUGUGUCACUAUUGUUGAUGAUGCACGCUUGAACUUUGGGCGGGCAACGACGUUGUUACCUUCAUGGACAACUGAGAACGAGAUUAAUUGUAUGCAUCGAUGCACAACUGCAAUCGGGUAAAUUAACUCGCCGAGAAGAGGGUGAUGGCUAGUUUGACUGUCGCAACGUCAAGUAAAAAUAAUUCUCGCGGUAGUUCACCUAACAGAGGAAAUUUACUAACUCAUCAUCGACAAUCAUCCGCUAACCUGGAGCACGUGCCAAAGAUAUGUAACACUGCAGUUGGCCAAACUGGAGAAGGUAGUACCGGAAGCGCAGGAAGCAGUAUUUGUGGAACGGCGGUUAUGAAAAGUAGUUCAAGACAAAGAUCCCCAGGUGCAAUGGCACGUUCUGGUGAUAAUUUUGAGGAGUCAAGUCAAUCGAAUCCGUCCAACGUGGAGUCCGAGGAUUUUGUGUCAAAUGUCCACCCGCCAACAGAUGACGAAGGAGAAACAUUUCAUACUACAACUCAAUCAUUCUUAUCUAAUGGAUCGUCAGAAUUAAUAUCCGAAGACGUCGACUCCAGUGGAGCUCGCGUCCGUCAGGCAAUAGAACAAACUCAAAAUAAAAUAACGAAAACUCGCGAACUCAUUCGUACGGAGCAAAAAACCCGCGAUGAGAACGUCAACGAGUAUCUUAAACUCGCGGCAAAUGCGGAUAAGCAGCAGUUAGCGAGAAUAAAGACGGUGUUCGAGAAGAAGAAUCAAAAGUCAGCACACAAUAUUGCACAGUUGCAAAAAAAGUUGGAUAGUUAUACGAAAAAACUGAGAAAUUAUGAGAUGAAUGGCGCCCCAACGAGUCAUCGGCAACCGCGAGAAGUUCUUCGAGACAUGGGUCAAGGAUUAAAAAACGUAGGCGGUAACAUUAGGGACGGAAUAAGCGGAUUUUCGGGAAGUGUCAUGUCCAAGCCCAGAGAAUUUGCGCAUCUUAUAAAAAAUAAAUUUGGCAGUGCCGACAAUAUAAAUACUCUAUCACAUGGAUCUACUUUUUAUGUAAACGAUCCACCACGUGCAGGUACCGGCGACAAUGGCAGUGUCGAGGAGGAAAAAACUCAUCACGGUUCAGCGACAUUACCCGGUGGUUGUAGUUUAGGUUCAACCCACAGUGCCGCGCCCGUUAAAUUUCCCUCGGAAGAGGGUUCCGAGUGCUCGAGCGUCACCAGCGAAAGUGGCCCCGGCAGCCGAGGUCAAACACACGCUUGUCACAGCAACAAUGCCGCCUUCAGUUUGAAAUCUAUUUUCGCAGAGCUGCAGGAGCACCGGGAAAACUUUGAACGUAUGAGAGAAAAACUGGACACGCUUAAGACACUUCAACAAGAAGUCACAUUUUUAUCAAACGCAUUGCAAGAAGAACGUUUCCGGUGUGAACGGCUCGAAGAACAGAUGAACGAUUUGACAGAAUUGCAUCAAAACGAAGUUGAAAAUUUAAAGCAAACGAUAACAGACAUGGAGGAAAAAGUACAGUAUCAAAGUGAAGAUCGGUUGAGAGACAUUCACGAGAUGCUGGAAAGCUGUCAGACUAAAAUAUGGAAAAUGGAACACCAGCAGCAACAACAUCAGCAAUACGUAACACUUGAGGGUCUUGACAAUAGUAACGCGCGAGCGUUGGUUGUUAAAUUAAUCAACGUUGUAUUAACUGUUUUGCAAGUUAUUUUAUUACUUGUAGCCACAGGCGCGGGAAUAAUGAUGCCUUUCUUGAGAACGAGCUGUACUAAGCCUCAUUGUUUCAUGUGCAGGGUGCGCAUAUUGACGACGACGUUGGUCGUGCUGGGCAUUGUUUUUGUCCUCAAGCAGUGGCCCGAAGUCCACGACGUAGGAAGUCAUCUAAUGCGACAUCUCAAACAAACACUUGCUGUCAAGUAGCAUUGAAUUUAGUUUCUCAGUAAACCAUAUACAUACAGGAUCAAUAAAUUUAUUUUCAUGAUACCAGCAUUGAAACUUUAAGUUUCAGUGUUUCUACAGUCGGUCAUAAGAAGAUACUUUCAGUACAAUGUUGCGAAUGAAUACUAACAAGCGCGUAAAUUGGGAACGCCUUCAGUUAGCAGGCAGAAACAAACUUGUUUUGUCAGCCAAAGGCUUUUUUUUACCUGACCUGUACCUGAAAGUUUAAAUUUUUACCUGUUUAUAGUUUCUGCUCAAGUAUAAAUUGCAAAUGACAAUUUACGCUUACGUUAAUAGUUAAUCACACCAUUGGUCGUAAAUUAACUUGUAUCUGACUAGCUGCUGACACUGAAACUUCAGGUUUCAAUGCAGGGUUUGGAUAAAUAGCCAUUUAAAUAAUUGCCUCAAGUACCCGGAUACAGCAAUAAAAUAUCAAGAAAAAAAAAGUUAAUAAUUAAAAUCGACGGUCGAGGAAUCGGAUUGAAAGACAAAAAAAUAAAAUUGAUAAUUCGCUUAAAUAUUUGUUAGUAGGUAUAUAUAUAAACAGUUAAGAGUUUAUUAUUAUUUAUAUAUUAUAUAUUAUUAUAAAUGUAUUGGAUGUAGAUGAAUUAUUGUACUAUAUUAUUUAGUCAGUAAGGUAUGUGAUAAUGAUUAACAUGAAAUUUUAAAAAAUAUCGAGAGACAACGGGAGAGUAACAGUAAUAGGCAAGUUUAUAUAUUUAAUAAUAAUAAUAAUUAUUAAUAUCAAGGGAAUAUUCUAGUCUGGAUGAGUUUAAUUUGAGGAAUUUUUACAGUCAGUAAAAAACAAAAUAUAUUUCUGCUAUGAAUUUUCUAUUUUCUUUAUUUAUACUUAUAAAAAAAUUAGAUAAAAAUAUACGAAACUGAAUUCAUUUUAAGGAUCUUUAAGCGCUGAUAAAAAAGGUGUGUUGACUCAUAUCUCGGGCUCUAUCUUACCGAUCAGUUAAAAUUUGGUGUGUAUUUUAAGUAGAUAUUUUAUAAUUACUCUUGGAAAUUUGAAACGAUUAUGGAAUUUUUUCCCACCUUUUUUUCAGUUUUAUUUCUUUUAAAUGAUAAUUUUUUAAUUUCCAAGGACUACAAAGUAAAAUUUUUUAAAAAUACACACCAUAAUUUUUCAAUUGGUAAAAUAGAACUUGAGAUAUUACUCAAUUACUAUGGCCAUCAAAAGAUCCUUAAAACCCACAAAAUUUUAAUUUUUUAUACGAAAACUUCUUUUUGUCUUAUCAACAUAUAUUUGAAAACUUUACAGUAAAAAUACUUUUUUUUUCUACGUAACCUUAAAAAAAAAUUUUAAGCUCACACCUUCAGACUAGACUACUCCUUAAAAUAAACUUGAAGAUUCGUGGUAAUUUAAUACUAUCAAGAUUUGUCAUGUGGGAUAAAAUACUAUAAAAUAAUAAUAAUAAUUAAAAAUUGAUAAAUUGCAUGACAGUCGAAGUGAGACUAAGGCUGAAUUUGACUGAUCGAAUCAGCAGUUUUGUUUUUUAAUUUAUUGACAGCAUUAUAGCUUCGAGACAAUUAAGAUUGAUAUAAAAAAAAAUAAUAACAAUAAUAGUAAUACCUCAAAAAAAAAUUAAUAAUAAAAAGAAUAAAAAUUUUUAGUAUAACAUUUUUCGUACUGCUAAAUUAACAUAAUUUGAUAUUUUGAUAUAAAUAUUUCGCCAUUUAAUAAUUAUUUUAAAAAAAUGGCAUUAAAUAAAUAAUUUAUUAGAGCUAUCGUUAAAUAAUGCACAAAUUCAGUAUUAAGUACACAGUUUUUUAACGUUCAUUUUAUUAAAAUUAUUAUUUCUUAGUAAUCUUGAGUUAAUUUUAAAUUCUCAAUAUUAUUUUUUUAAUAGUAAUACGCUUAAAUAAUUAUCACUACUUAUAAAUAUAUAUAUAACUAUCAAUACUUGAUAAAUAUUUAAUUUAAAUUACACCAAAAAUAAUUUAAAUAAUUUGCUAAUUAAAAUGUUGCUCUCUCGUAUUUUUAAACUAAAAACUGUGACUAUAAUAAGUUCAAAUUAAAUUGGUAAUUAUAUAAUUAAUAAUUUCUGGGAUCAAACUAAAAAAAUAAUUAUUAUUAUUAUACAUAACAAUAUAAAAAAAAAUUUUUCUGACAACCGCCGGAUAUCUGCCAAAAUAUUUUUAAUUAAAAAACCAAACUUUUUAUCGCGCUUACAGACAAAAAAAUUUUAAAUGUCAGAUGCAUUAAAAAAAAUAAUUAAAUUAAUGAUAUUUUAAAUUGUUUUAUCUAAAUUGACUUAUUUAUUUAUUAUUUAUAACAAAAAAAAAUAUUUAUAUUUAUGGUAAUUGUCUGUAUAUGAAGAUUUUAUGUACAUAAAUUCUAAAUUAGAAAUUAAAAUUAAUUAAUUAUAAAUAAUUAUUUUAAAAUUUAAUUAGACAGUAAAAUAAAUAAAUUAAUUAGUAAAAAAAAAAAAGAAUAAUAAUAAUAAAAAUCAUGUCCAUCAAUUUGCCAUCGUCGUAGUUAAAUAAAAGUGAAUAGUAUAAAUAAAACUAAAACUACUAUCUAGUAUGCAAUGAAAAUAGAAAAUGUAAUUAGUAAUUAGCAUCGAGCAUUCCUCGACAAGCUUUAUAAAAAUUGAUCUAGAUUUAUUUUUAAGCACAAAUUGUUAAUAUUAAUUUAUUAUUUAACAUAUAGUUGUAUUGUUUUAAUUAAUUAAUUAAUUUAGUUAAUUAAGAGGACGUAUUAUAAUUAUAAAUCAUAAAUUAUAUAAAUCUAUGACGUAGGUUUGGUGCUUUGUAUUAUAUUUUAAAUAAUUGCAUAAGUUUACAAUAAUUAAGUUAUCGGAGUUCCCGUAAUUUAAUUUUUAAAAUUAUUUUAAAUUUAAUGACAAAUUAUUUAAGACAAAAUUAUAUAAAUAAUUAAUGGAUUAUUUAACUUUUUAAUUUUGUACUUUGUCAAUAACAAUUUGUAAGGAUAAAUUAAUAAUAAUUAGAAAAAAAAAAAAAGACAAUUUUAUAAGCAUUUUAUAACGAAAAUUUUAAUGACAAAUAUAUAUACGGGAACUCUAGUUGAUUUAUUGUACGCAAAACGAAAAAAAAAAAAAAUAUAAGUUAUUAACAAUAUUGUCAUUGAUGCCUUGCUUAGAUAAUUAUCGUUAAAAGUAUAGAGUUGAAGGAAAGAAAAUAAAAAAAAAAAAUGAAGGAAAAUAAUAAUUGUCAAUUUAAUGAGUAUGAAUGUAGCAGACAUAAGACAAAUAUAAAUUUAUUAAUAAAUAGAUUAAAUAAUUAAUAAAAUUAAAUUUUAAAAAAAUGUGCGCCUAGAAAAUUUAAAAAUUAAAAAGUGCAUUUUUUAUAAAUGUCCUUUUUUAAUUAUUUACUCUAAUUAUUUAUAAUUUUAAAUUUGUCUAACGUCUGCUACAUUCACACUCAUGUCAAUUUAAAGAAUGAUACUGAAGUUAGCUGACGUCUAAUAAUUUUUGGAUUUUUUUUAAAACGAAUAAAAAAAAAAAAUGCACUUGUAGUUUUUUAAAUUUUCUACAUGUGAAUAUUUUUAGUUUUUAUUUUUUUGUAAUUGAGGGCCAGUUUUUCAAACUUUUUAUUUCUAAUCCGGGUUUUAAUUAUUAUUGAUAUAUUUAUAUAUUAACUAAUGCAUAGAUAUUAAAACAACAUCAAUUUCCAAGCGGAUAAAAAUAAACCCGAUUUGAAAAACUGGCCCUGAUUUUUGUAAAAAAAUUCGAAAACUGUUAAUUGUCUGUUAACUUCAGGAUCAAUAAUGAAUAUAAGGAAAUAGUUGAAACUGUGCAAUUGGUUUUUAAAAUAUAUGCACUCGCGUGUAUACUUAAUGCUCUCUCUCUAUCUGAUAAGUCUCUCUGUACCGCUGAUAAAAAAUAUAAAUGAUUGUUUCCUUUUUUUUAUUACUAAUGGAUGUUUAAUUAUGCAAGCUACGAUUGUCAAAUAAUUUUUUUUUCUAAAUAAUAAUUGUCAAGUUUUUAAGUCUAUUCCAUUAACAAUUAAAUGGAUUGUACGUUUAUUUUACUUAUAGUUUUUAAAUAUCGGAUUAUUGUUUAUUACCAUAAAUAAAGAGCAUUUUUUAG